rnacentral:lncRNA from 1 species
GUGUGUGUAUUAUGAAAGAAUGAAAUCAAGAAUUUUAGAAUCAGAGCUCUCAUUUCAUUCAUGCCUGUUAUGGUUCAUCUGUACCAUUCACAUACUGCUCAUUGAUAUUGUCAUAGAUAUUUCUAACAGGUAUUAUAAAGCACAGUUCCUAGCUCUGCAAAUUUUUUACAUUUUUGCACAAAUUGGCAAGGAGAUUUGUUUUGAGACUACUUGUAUUGAGCAUUGACUUCGGAAUUCUAUAAGUUGAAACUUCUAUGUUUGUGUGCUUCUUUGUUGUUGUUUCUCUUUCUUGUUAGAUAUUCACUUACUGUUUCGGCUUUUCCUCACCAAUGUCGCCUCUGAAAGGGAAUUGCAAACCUAUGGGUUGCUCUGUUAUUUUUUCCUUGCCAGUUUCAUCUUUGGAAAUGGAUGUGAAAUCUUAGGAGUUGCUUUGUAUUUUUUAUGCUUUGUAUUGGUGCCUUUAUGUAGGUUGAUGGCUUCUGAGUUCACCUCACCUCAAUCUAGGGUCAGGCCCAAGAAAAUAGCCCAUUACUUAGAGAUCCUCAAGCCACUCACGCCAAUUGGGUCCAGCCCGCUCAGCCACACGACCGGGCUUCAUCUGGCUUUCUCCACCAGGCCGACCUCGUCUUCACUACACCUCGGGCCGAUCCCAUUUGGGCCCUGCUUUGUUCCUAUUCUCCGGUCCAGCCCGGAAUCCGAAGGAGGAUUCAUCCAUCCGCCUUGCAGACCCGCCUACCCGCGCACAGAGAGAAUCAGAGACCGUUACGCAUGGAACAGAAAUCUGAUUCCCUCGUACGUCCGUAUCAGCGUAGCAGGGACAGGUGGUCUAAUGAUAUUCGUUCUGUUGGCACGUCACUAGCAGACAAAAGGAAACCUAUAAAAAGAGAAAUACUCGCCUCUGGAUCUAAGCUUUUCCUAAGUUUUAUAGAGCCCAUUGUAAAAACCCUAUUUUCUGGAUCUCAGAUUAUCAUAGGUGUUUCUGAAUUUGCCUUGAGAUAUUCCUAAUUUUGAUAUUUGAGGGCUGCCGUGGAAUCAUUGACUUCAAUAAGAAUCUCAUCCAGGAGAAGCAUUGGUAUUGAUGAGAUUCUAUGCUCCAACUAGAGAAGAGUGUCAUAGGAGCGAAAGAAAUUAUGUCUAUAUAUUCCUACAUUAAUUAGCAUAAUUGUAGGUAAUUUUUUUUCCUAUUUAAGGAUUUGAGUUCUCCAUAUAUAUGUGAAUUACAAAUGAAUAAAAUCAAGAAUUUCUAAUUCAAAUUUACAGGAGUAAAAAACCCCAGAAAAAUUGACCAAACUGUUACCCUAUUAUUAGGAAAAAAGAAACAUUUACUAGUGGAGUCGGACCCAAUUGAUUUACUAGUUGGAUGCAUGUGCAAUUUUCUUGUUCUAUAUUUAUAAUAUUUAGGAAUUAGUACAAAAUUUCAGGAAUAAAAAAAAAAUGGAGUGUGAAAUCUAGGAAUUUCCAAUAAACUUGUGAAUAAACUGGUGAAUGAAGGAACGUCCAAAAUUCGGUUAGUGUGCCACUCUACGAGUAAUGAUUAGCAUUUUCCAUGUUCUGAUUAUUUCCCCCUUUUACCUUUCCUUUCUAGCUCUGGCAUGGAAUCUCGCUUUCAUCUCUUGUUUUCUAACUCUAUCCCUAUUGUUUGUACUUUUGUCCAUGAAAAACAUCAGUCACACUUGUACAGAACACAAUCUAUCAAAACUUCAUAUCAAAGAUCAUGUUAGAUUCCAAACAAAGAUUUUGAUGUAUGCAUUGCCUCUCAGAAUUUCAAAAACCAAACUGGGAGAACAAGGCUUUCGCAAAUAAAUGGAUUAGACAAAUUUCUACUCCGCAGUCUACGUUUUAAGGAAUUGGGAUAGAAUUUGACAAGUGUUUCUUUCCAUUUUUUCUGGAACCGUUCACGAGAAAGAAUCUAAUGUACUGUUCACGAGAGUGGAUUUGAACAAAGAUGAAAACAGUGUGACUUUAUUUAGUAAGUGUAUAUUUAUUUUCUGAAUGCAUACAAAGAAUUACAUAUGCCAGACAGUUGAUUAUUUUAGAUGAUUCAGACUAAUGGAGUUAUAUAAAGCACUGUUGACGGAUGCAAGGAACGGUUUGCUUUUAUUUUCCACCUCUGGUUGAGGAUGAUAAGAUGCUUUGAAAACUCCAAUAUGUUCAUAGCUUUGAUUUUUUUUUUUUUUCCAUUUGUUGUCAAUAUCGUUAGCAUAUUUUCUCAGUUCAUGUUUCAGCUGAAUGAAAGAGAUCUUCAAUUGCAAGACGAGGUUUUCAUAUGGAAUAGUGUGGUUAACAUUCAUUAUUUUAAGAGGUAAGAAUUUGCUGUGACUGAAGACUUAACAUUUCUGUAUGAAGGACUUAAGAUUUGUGUAUGAAGGAUAUGGCAUGGAGCAUUGGAGC